rnacentral:rRNA from 1 species
UACGAACUGUGCGAACGUUGUUCGGAAUCACUGGGCGUAAAGGGCGCGUAGGCGGCUUUAUAAGUCGGGGGUGAAAGCCUGUGGCUCAACCACAGAAUUGCCUUCGAUACUGUAGAGCUUGAGACCGGAAGAGGUAAGUGGAACUGCGAGUGUAGAGGUGAAAUUCGUAGAUAUUCGCAAGAACACCAGUGGCGAAGGCGGCUUACUGGUCCGGUUCUGACGCUGAGGCGCGAAAGCGUGGGGAGCAAACAGG